UACGAAGGGGGCUAGCGUUGUUCGGAAUUACUGGGCGUAAAGCGCGCGUAGGCGGCGACCUUUGUCAGAGGUGAAAUCCCGAGGCUCAACUUCGGAAUUGCCUUUGAAACGGGGUUGCUAGAGUCCGAGAGAGGAUGGCGGAAUUCCUAGUGUAGAGGUGAAAUUCGUAGAUAUUAGGAAGAACACCAGUGGCGAAGGCGGCCAUCUGGCUCGGUACUGACGCUCAGGCGCGAAAGCGUGGGGAGCAAACCGG
rnacentral:rRNA from 1 species